GAUGAACGCUGGCGGCGUGCCUAAUACAUGCAAGUCGAGCGAACAGAUGAGGAGCUUGCUCCUCUGACGUUAGCGGCGGACGGGUGAGUAACACGUGGAUAACCUACCUAUAAGACUGGGAUAACUUCGGGAAACCGGAGCUAAUACCGGAUAAUAUAUUCAACCGCAUGGUUCAAUAGUGAAAGACGGCUUUGCUGUCACUUAUAGAUGGUUCCGCGCCGCAUUAGCUAGUUGGUAAGGUAACGGCUUACCAAGGCAACGAUGCGUAGCCGACCUGAGAGGGUGAUCGGCCACACUGGAACUGAGACACGGUCCAGACUCCUACGGGAGGCAGCAGUAGGGAAUCUUCCGCAAUGGGCGAAAGCCUGACGGAGCAACGCCGCGUGAGUGAUGAAGGUCUUCGGAUCGUAAAACUCUGUUAUUAGGGAAGAACAAAUGUGUAAGUAACUAUGCACGUCUUGACGGUACCUAAUCAGAAAGCCACGGCUAACUACGUG
rnacentral:rRNA from 1 species